UUGUGUCGUGGUGAGAACGAAAUCCAGAACCAACCUGUAACUACUCUUAAUCUAGAACCAACAUGUAAUCACACUCUUAAUCUUCAUCAGAAUUCAGAUAAAGUGAUUAGGCCUGAACUUGCAUGCAUAAGGCUUUAUAAACACCGCCAGGGAGGCUCAGCCUGAAGCAGCUUUAUCCCAUUGGUAAUUUGGUGUCCGGUUC